AGGGAAUCUUCCACAAUGGACGGAAGUCUCAUGGAGCAACGCCGCGUGAGUGAUGAAGGUUUUCGGAUCGUAAAACUCUGUUGUAAGGGACGAACCACUACGUCAGGCAAUGGACGUACCUUGACGGUACCUUAUUAGAAUGCCACGGCUAACUCCGUGCCAGCAGCCGCGGUAAUACGGAGGAUGCAAGCGUUAUCCGGAUUUAUUGGGUUUAAAGGGAGCGUAGGCGGACUAUUAAGUCAGCUGUGAAAGUUUACGGCUCAACCGUGAAAUUGCAGUUGAAACUGGUCGUCUUGAGUGCAGUAAAGGUGGGCGGAAUUCGUGGUGUAGCGGUGAAAUGCUUAGAUAUCACGAAGAACUCCAAUUGCGAAGGCAGCUCACUGGAGUGUAACUGACGCUGAUGCUCCAAAGUGUGGGUAUCAAACA
rnacentral:rRNA from 1 species